CUGGGGCGGUCGCCUCCUAAAGUGUAACGGAGGCGCCCAAAGGUUCCCUCAGAAUGGUUGGAAAUCAUUCGUAGAGUGCAAAGGCAUAAGGGAGCUUGACUGCGAGACCUACAAGUCGAGCAGGGACGAAAGUCGGGCUUAGUGAUCCGGUGGUUCCGUAUGGAAGGGCCAUCGCUCAACGGAUAAAAGCUACCCCGGGGAUAACAGGCUUAUCUCCCCCAAGAGUCCACAUCGACGGGGAGGUUUGGCACCUCGAUGUCGGCUCAUCGCAUCCUGGGGCUGUAGUCGGUCCCAAGGGUUGGGCUGUUCGCCCAUUAAAGCGGUACGCGAGCUGGGUUCAGAACGUCGUGAGACAGUUCGGUCCCUAUCCGUCGUGGGCGUAGGAAAUUUGAGAGGAGCUGUCCUUAGUACGAGAGGACCGGGAUGGACGCACCGCUGGUGUACCAGUUGUUCUGCCAAGGGCAUAGCUGGGUAGCUAUGUGCGGAAGGGAUAAGUGCUGAAAGCAUCUAAGCAUGAAGCCCCCCUCAAGAUGAGAUUUCCCAUAGCGUAAGCUAGUAAGAUCCCUGAAAGAUGAUCAGGUUGAUAGGUUCGAGGUGGAAGCAUGGUGACAUGUGGAGCUGACGAAUACUAAUAGAUCGAGGACUUAACCAUAUAA
rnacentral:rRNA from 1 species